CAAUAAGGGUGGUUCUCGCAUGAACCUUACCCUAUAUAUAUAUAUAUAUAUAUAUAUAUAUAUAUAUAGGGUAAGGUUCAUGCGAGAACCACCUUUAUUGCG
rnacentral:pre_miRNA from 11 species